rnacentral:tRNA from 1 species
GCCGGAGUGGUGAAACUGGCAGACGCGCGGGACUCAAAAUCCCGUGACCGCAAGGUCGUGCGGGUUCGACCCCCGCCUCCGGCACCA